rnacentral:rRNA from 1 species
GACGAACGCUGGCGGCAUGCCUAAUACAUGCAAGUCGAACGAGUUGCGCCUAAUGAUAGUUGAUGCUUGCAUUAGCUUGACUUAAGUUAGCAGCGAGUGGCGAACUGGUGAGUAACACGUGGAUAACCUGCCCAGAAGAAGGGGAUAACACCUGGAAACAGAUGCUAAUACCGCAUAACAACUUGGACCGCAUGGUCCAAGUUUGAAAGAUGGCCUUUGUGCUAUCGCUUUUGGAUGGAUCCGCGGCGCAUUAGCUAGUUGGUGAGAUAA